AGAGCGAACGCUGGCGGCAGGCUUAACACAUGCAAGUCGAGCGGGCGUAGCAAUACGUCAGCGGCAGACGGGUGAGUAACGCGUGGGAACGUACCUUUUGGUUCGGAACAACCCAGGGAAACUUGGGCUAAUACCGGAUAAGCCCUUACGGGGAAAGAUUUAUCGCCGAAAGAUCGGCCCGCGUCUGAUUAGCUAGUUGGUGGGGUAAUGGCCCACCAAGGCGACGAUCAGUAGCUGGUCUGAGAGGAUGAUCAGCCACAUUGGGACUGAGACACGGCCCAAACUCCUACGGGAGGCAGCAGUGGGGAAUAUUGGACAAUGGGCGCAAGCCUGAUCCAGCCAUGCCGCGUGAGUGAUGAAGGCCCUAGGGUUGUAAAGCUUCUUUGUGCGGGAAGAUAAUGACGGUACCGCAAGAAUAACGCCCCGGACUAACUUCGUGCCAGCAGCCGC
rnacentral:rRNA from 1 species